UUUCUAACCCCUCCCCUAGAAAUUGAAAUUCCAUGGAAGAUGGGAAGAAAAAAAUCAUUGUGUGGACAAAUUUGCCCUUGUUCUUUCUUCCCUUUUAUUGUUACACAAGGAUAUUUUAGUCUUUAUAUCAUUUUUUCCAUUUUAAUUCCUAGUAAUUCUAAUUCCUGCCUACCAAACAAUGGAAUUUGAAUUUCUACUUUAUUCUCACUUUAUUUUUUCCCCACAGAAUUUACAAUUCUUUUCUCCCUAUUUUCCUCCUUCCAACCAAAUGCCCCGUUAGGGUAGUCGGGGAGCAAUUCUAGACAGCUUUUCAGUUAGCAUGAUGGAUAUUGUGGGAGAGGGAGUAUGUGAGAAUGUGAAGCUAACUUAACAUUCGGUACAUAUUUCUUUGUAGAUGCAUAGCAUUCAAAUCCUGAUCGUCACUAAUGAUGUGUCACUAAUGAUGUAUCUUGUGAAGUUGUGAUACACACUUGAUUAUUAGAUCUGACUGGCUACCAGGCUGUGUGUGACAGGAAAUGUUUGGUAAAAUCAUGUGAAGUUUUGUACGAAAAGCGCAACGAUCAAAAUAGCAGAAGAACUUGAAUCGCAUAAUGGAGCAGCCCGCCCAUCCAUGCCAUACAGCAGUGGAAUAAAAAUAAAAGGUCAGAGUAAACAUUACUUUCCUCUAAAAAAUUUUGGGGAGUUUUUUGUUUGUUUGUUUGUAUGACUUGUGUGUAGGUGUUGACAUAGUAUACAUACAUUUGUUGAAACCUUAAUAAAUUGCGUGCAUUCUCAACC